rnacentral:rRNA from 1 species
GAAACUGCGAAUGGCUCAUUAAAUCAGUUAUCGUUUAUUUGAUAGUACUUCACUACAUGGACAACUGUGGUAAUUCUAGAGCUAAUACAUGCUAAAAACCCCGACUUCGGAAGGGGUGUAUUUAUUAGAUAAAAAACCAAUGCCCUCCGGGGCUCCUUGGUGAAUCAUAAUAACUUAACGAAUCGCAUGGCCUUGCGCCGGCGAUGGUUCAUUCAAAUUUCUGCCCUAUCAACUUUCGAUGGUAGGAUAGUGGCCUACCAUGGUUUCAACGGGUAACGGGGAAUUAGGGUUCGACUCCGGAGAGGGAGCCUGAGAAACGGCUACCACAUCCAAGGAAGGCAGCAGGCGCGCAAAUUACCCAAUCCCGACGCGGGGAGGUAGUGACAAUAAAUACUGAUACAGGGCUCUUUCGGGUCUUGUAAUUGGAAUGAGUACAAUUUAAAUCCCUUAACGAGGAACAAUUGGAGGGCAAGUCUGGUGCCAGCAGCCGCGGUAAUUCCAGCUCCAAUAGCGUAUAUUAAAGUUGUUGCAGUUAAAAAGCUCGUAGUUGAACCUUGGGCCUGGCUGGCCGGUCCGCCUCACCGCGUGUACUGGUCCGGCCGGGCCUUUCCUUCUGGGGAACCGCAUGGCCUUCACUGGCCGUGUCGGGGAACCAGGACUUUUACUUUGAAAAAAUUAGAGUGUUCAAAGCAGGCCUUUGCUCGAAUACAUUAGCAUGGAAUAAUAGAAUAGGACGCGCGGUUCUAUUUUGUUGGUUUCUAGGACCGCCGUAAUGAUUAAUAGGGACAGUCGGGGGCAUCCGUAUUCAAUUGUCAGAGGUGAAAUUCUUGGAUUUAUUGAAGACGAACUACUGCGAAAGCAUUUGCCAAGGAUGUUUUCAUUAAUCAGUGAACGAAAGUUAGGGGAUCGAAGACGAUCAGAUACCGUCGUAGUCUUAACCAUAAACUAUGCCGACUAGGGAUCGGUGGGUGUUAUUAUUUUGACCCCAUCGGCACCUUACGAGAAAUCAAAGUUU